rnacentral:lncRNA from 10 species
CAAAGAUUAGGUCUAUUCAUUCUUUCUAACUAUUUUGUGUACCUUUUAAAAUUGAGGUUCAAAAGGAAGUUGUAAUGGUUUCAAAACAAUUGAGAUCAGGGAUCUCUAAAUGGGGCUUUGAGGCACCGGGAAACAUACCCUUACCCUAACCUGCAAAUGGGACUCUGAGAAUGUAAAUGCUUAGGUCAAGUUACCAACUAAAUAACAAAGGCUAAGCCCAGAUAUCAGUUCUAUAAUUUGAGGUGCCCCCACCAUUAUUUUCUCUUGAUCCUCAAGUUUCUUACUCUUUUUACUCAUUUCAAUAUUGUCCAGCUGUAGAUGAAUUCUAUUUUUAGAAGUUAGUGUGGUUACAUUUAAACCUAAUUUUCAAACUGACUUGCUUGAGAUCCAAAGCACAUUUUUAAGCGUCAGAGCUCUAGGAACAGAAAAUAGCAUCCCUGGGAUGACAGGAAGGAUGCCCUGUGCCUGGAGGAGGUCUCUCUCCAGGAUUCAGCACACCGUGGAGCUGUGGGAAGUGUGUUAUCUCUGUCAUGAGAGAGAAAGGAGUGGCUGGCUCAGCAAGAUUAGAGCCUCUCUCUGGAUUGUUCCUCAGAACCAGAAGAACUGUGUGGAGUGGCAGCAACUGGAGGAAGCAGAAUGUCCCCGAGCAAGAUUGUCAAGAGAAAAAAGUUACAUGUAUAAAAUCUACAGUAGAAUUGGAAGAUGGAUCUAAUGAGAAUAACACUAAGGAAACACCAUCCUUCAAAAACUAAAAGCUCCUUGAUGAGACAAGAAAAUGAAGUGUCCCAGAAGAGGAAAUGCAGUAAGUGUUGGGGAUAAAAAGAAGGUUAGAAAGCGAACAAUUUCAGAAGGGAAGAAAUGACCUCUAAAAGGGAAGCUGGGAUGAUAGCAAAGGCAAUGUCAACGUCCUCACAAUUUCACUUAGAUUUUCCUGGCUACUCUGCAGAAGGCAUGAUAAGAUAAAUGCUUAUUGAUUUCAAGAUCAAGGCAACAGGAUCCUUUCUGUUUAAUUAUUUCUUUGUAAGUUAAAAACUAAAUGCUUUGGCAAGUGCUGUAAAUACAAAGGGCAGGGGUAUUCAGUGCCCUUAGAAUCAAUGGCAAGUUCAAGCUGUGUGUGACAAGGGAUAACCAUUAUUCAUCCAUUCAUUCUAACAAAGUCUGUAAAUGACUACCAUGCAUUAGGUGAUGGUCUGGUCACUGAAAUAUCAGAGACAGGUAAAGCUCAGUCUCUGUUCUUAAGGACCUCAGGGUUUAGAAGAAGAAAAAGACAUAUAAGUAAGUACAAUAGAAAUAUAAACAAGAACCAAAGGUAGCUCAGGGGAAGUGAGUAACUCUUAGAGGAAAAUAUUAAAUAAAGGAUUUCUGGAUGAGAGGAUGUUUGAACUGAAUUCUGAAGAUGAAUAAAAGUCCUUCUGGAGAAAUAAAAACACCAUUUUGGCAGAAAUAAUAGUAUAUGUGAAUACAUUUAGAACAAAGCAUGGAAACUAUGUUUAGGAUAUUGUCAUAAGCUUGGUAUCUUUAGAGCAUUUUGUGUAAGUGGUGAGGGGAGAAAAUGGGAGGAGAUAAAAAACGUAAACGUAGGGUAGGGUAGAUUAUGAAUGGAUAGAAAUGUCUCUUAAAGCAUCUGAACUAUACCCAAAUGCCUAGGAGGAGAA